CCAGGUGGAAGGCCGGAGAGCCGGGGCAAAAGGACUUCCGGUCUCCACGAGGGUAGUGGCACCUUUAGGCGUGGACCGUCGAUUGGUGGAGGCUGUUGCUUGCUGACCGGGCAGCCGUGGGUUGUGAGGAUUGCCCAGACCCUGUGGGCGGUGCCAGAGAAUCGCGCAGCUACUCACGCAAACCCUUGGCGCGUCUCUCUGCUCCGAGCUGAAAUCGGAGCUCUGGAGCGCAGGUCGCUGGUCCUCCUGCUAGGGAUGCUAUGAUUUCGCCGACCUUUAUUCUUUACCUUUCUUCGUUCCUUUCUAAAGUCAUUACGUCUUUGGGGAGAGAGCAUAAUUGAUAAUUCUCUCUUCUCCAUCCCACAGCGCUUUAUGCGGCAUUCAUUAAUAAUCGUUCCCCAAGUUUGACCAGAUGUCUUAAGACAUGAGAUCUGAAUGUCAUACUCAUAAAUUUGGACUAAGCAUUUGUUAUUAUCAUGGAAACGUGAAAAUCACAAAUUACUUGAUGCCAGAAUAUAAAUUGAUGAAGAACUCUGAGAAAUUGGAAUAACUGCAUUACUUUGAAACAGAGUACAUCAUGUGAAAUGCCAGGCUGAAUGAAGCACAGCCAGAAUCAAGAUUGCCA